CCCAAAGCGAGAGUUGUGUCCGGAUACUCGGCAGUAAGUCGGACUCGUUUCCCGUGAAUGUUGGCCUCCGCCAGGGCUGCGCUUUAUCACCAAUCCUGUUCGUGAUUUUCAUGGAUAGGAUAUCGAGGCGUAGUCGUGGAGGAGAGGGGUUGCAGUUCGGUGACCUGAGGAUCUCAUCGCUGCUCUUUGCAGAUGAUGUGGUCCUUAUGGCAUCAUCGGUCUGUGACCUUCAACAGUCACUGGAUCGGUUCGCAGCCGAGUGUGCAGCGGUCGGGAUGAGGAUCAGCACCUCCAAAUCUGAGGCCAUGGCUCUCAGCAGGAAACCGGUGGAUUGCCUACUCCGGGUAGGGAAUGAGCCUUUACCCCAAGUGAAGGAGUUCAAGUACCUCGGGGUCUUGUUCGCGAGUGAGGGGACAAUGGAGCGAGAGAUUGGCCAGAGAAUCGGAGCAGCGGGGGCGGUAUUACAGUCACUUUACCGCACCGUUGUGACGAAAAGAGAGCUGAGCCAGAAGGCAAAGCUCUCAAUCUACCGGUCGAUCUUCGUUCCUACCCUCACCUAUGGUCAUGAAGGCUGGGUCAUGACCGAAAGAACGAGAUCACGGGUACAAGCGGCCGAAAUGGGUUUUCUCAGACGGGUGGCUGGCGUCUCCCUUAGAGAUAGGGUGAGAAGCUCAGCCAUCCGUGAGAGACUCGGAGUAGAGCCGCUGCUCCUUUACGUUGAAAGGAGCCAGUUGAGGUGGUUCGGGCAUCUAGUAAGAAUGCCACCUGGGCGCCUCCCUAGGGAGGUGUUCCAGGCACGUCCAGCUGGGAGGAGACCCCGGGGAAGACCCAGGACUCGGUGGAGAGAUUAUAUCUCCUCACUGGCCUGGGAACGCCUCAGGAUCCCCCAGUCGGAGCUGGAGGAUGUGGCCCGGAGAAGGGAAGAUUGGGGUUCCUUACUGGAGCUGCUGCCCCCGCGACCCGAUCCCGGAUAAGCGGUAGACGAUGGAUGGAUGGAUGGAUGAAUAUAUGGCAAACACCACACAGAAGGGCCCAACCCGGCAAGCACCCAGAACCCUCUUGCUAUGAGCUGACAGUGCUAACCAAUGCCAUUUAUUUUAAACUUUGGACAAGGC
ensembl:lncRNA